rnacentral:rRNA from 1 species
GACGAACGCUGGCGGCGUGCUUAACACAUGCAAGUCGAGCGGUAAGGCCCUUUCGGGGGUACACGAGCGGCGAACGGGUGAGUAACACGUGGGUGACCUGCCCUUAGCUCUGGGAUAAGCCUGGGAAACUGGGUCUAAUACCGGAUAUGACUCCAUGACGCAUGUUGUGGGGUGGAAAGCCUUGUGCGGCUAGGGAUGGGCCCGCGGCCUAUCAGCUUGUUGGUGGGGUGAUGGCCACCAAGGCGACGACGGGUAGCCGGCCUGAGAGGGCGACCGGCCACACUGGGACUGAGACACGGCCCAGACUCCUACGGGAGGCAGCAGUGGGGAAUCUUGCGCAAUGGGCGAAAAGCCUGACGCAGCGACGCCGCGUGGGGAUGACGGCCUCGG